GACGUAGGGCGCGAGCGUUGUCCGGAUUUAUUGGGCGUAAAGAGCUUGUAGGCGGUUCGGUAAGUCGGGUGUGAAACCUCUGGGCUCAACUCAGAGACGCCACCCGAUACUGCUGUGACUAGAGUGCGGUAGGGGAGCGGGGAAUUCCUGGUGUAGCGGUGAAAUGCGCAGAUAUCAGGAGGAACACCGAUUGCGAAGGCAGCUCGCUGGGACGUUACUGACGCUGAGACGCGAAAGCGUGGGGAGCAAACAGG
rnacentral:rRNA from 1 species